rnacentral:rRNA from 1 species
UACGUAGGGACCAAGCGUUGUUCGGAUUUAUUGGGCGUAAAGAGCGUGUAGGCGGCCAUACAGGUCCGUUGUGAAAACUCGAGGCUCAACCUCGAGACGCCGAUGGAAACCAUCUGACUAGAGUCCGGAAGAGGAGAGUGGAAUUCCUGGUGUAGCGGUGAAAUGCGCAGAUAUCAAGAGGAACACCUAUUGCGAAGGCAGCUCGCUGGGACGUAACUGACGCUGAGACGCGAAAGCGUGGGGAGCAAACAGG